GCCCCGGUAGCUCAGUUGGCAGAGCAGUGGGCUUUUAACCCAUGUGUCACAGGUUCGAGACCUGUCCGGGGCA
rnacentral:tRNA from 1 species